CAUCUAAGUACCCCGAGGAAAAGAAAUCAACCGAGAUUCCCCCAGUAGCGGCGAGCGAACGGGGAGGAGCCCAGAGCCUGAAUCAGUGUGUGUGUUAGUGGAAGCGUCUGGAAAGGCGCGCGAUACAGGGUGACAGCCCCGUACACAAAAAUGCACAUGCUGUGAGCUCGAUGAGUAGGGCGGGACACGUGGUAUCCUGUCUGAAUAUGGGGGGACCAUCCUCCAAGGCUAAAUACUCCUGACUGACCGAUAGUGAACCAGUACCGUGAGGGAAAGGCGAAAAGAACCCCGGCGAGGGGAGUGAAAAAGAACCUGAAACCGUGUACGUACAAGCAGUGGGAGCACAGAGCAAUCUGUGUGACUGCGUACCUUUUGUAUAAUGGGUCAGCGACUUAUAUUCUGUAGCAAGGUUAACCGAAUAGGGGAGCCGAAGGGAAACCGAGUCUUAACUGGGCGUUAAGUUGCAGGGUAUAGACCCGAAACCCGGUGAUCUAGCCAUGGGCAGGUUGAAGGUUGGGUAACACUAACUGGAGGACCGAACCGACUAAUGUUGAAAAAUUAGCGGAUGACUUGUGGCUGGGGGUGAAAGGCCAAUCAAACCGGGAGAUAGCUGGUUCUCCCCGAAAGCUAUUUAGGUAGCGCCUCGUGAAUUCAUCUCCGGGGGUAGAGCACUGUUUCGGCAAGGGGGUCAUCCCGACUUACCAACCCGAUGCAAACUGCGAAUACCGGAGAAUGUUAUCACGGGAGACACACGGCGGGUGCUAACGUCCGUCGUGAAGAGGGAAACAACCCAGACCGCCAGCUAAGGUCCCAAAGUCAUGGUUAAGUGGGAAACGAUGUGGGAAGGCCCAGACAGCCAGGAUGUUGGCUUAGAAGCAGCCAUCAUUUAAAGAAAGCGUAAUAGCUCACUGGUCGAGUCGGCCUGCGCGGAAGAUGUAACGGGGCUAAACCAUGCACCGAAGCUGCGGCAGCGACACUAUGUGUUGUUGGGUAGGGGAGCGUUCUGUAAGCCUGUGAAGGUGUGCUGUGAGGCAUGCUGGAGGUAUCAGAAGUGCGAAUGCUGACAUAAGUAACGAUAAAGCGGGUGAAAAGCCCGCUCGCCGGAAGACCAAGGGUUCCUGUCCAACGUUAAUCGGGGCAGGGUGAGUCGACCCCUAAGGCGAGGCCGAAAGGCGUAGUCGAUGGGAAACAGGUUAAUAUUCCUGUACUUGGUGUUACUGCGAAGGGGGGACGGAGAAGGCUAUGUUGGCCGGGCGACGGUUGUCCCGGUUUAAGCGUGUAGGCUGGUUUUCCAGGCAAAUCCGGAAAAUCAAGGCUGAGGCGUGAUGACGAGGCACUACGGUGCUGAAGCAACAAAUGCCCUGCUUCCAGGAAAAGCCUCUAAGCAUCAGGUAACAUCAAAUCGUACCCCAAACCGACACAGGUGGUCAGGUAGAGAAUACCAAGGCGCUUGAGAGAACUCGGGUGAAGGAACUAGGCAAAAUGGUGCCGUAACUUCGGGAGAAGGCACGCUGAUAUGUAGGUGAAGCGACUUGCUCGUGGAGCUGAAAUCAGUCGAAGAUACCAGCUGGCUGCAACUGUUUAUUAAAAACACAGCACUGUGCAAACACGAAAGUGGACGUAUACGGUGUGACGCCUGCCCGGUGC
rnacentral:rRNA from 1 species